AAAAACCUUGCACCCAUAAUCCACGCCCAUAACCGUUUUCUCAGUGUACUUCAAUAGUGUCUGUGUUUGACUUAAGGAGGCCAAACACAUGAGAAGUAGCAUAGUAAGACGUCUCAUGCCGUCACUACGUAACCGGAUUUGUAAAAACCCUCGACCUUUUAUAUCACUGAGCCUCCAGACCAAAGAAAACCAUUUCCAC
rnacentral:lncRNA from 1 species